rnacentral:rRNA from 1 species
AUACGUAGGGUGCAAGCGUUAAUCGGAAUUACUGGGCGUAAAGCGUGCGCAGGCGGUUUUGUAAGACAGAGGUGAAAUCCCCGGGCUCAACCUGGGAACUGCCUUUGUGACUGCAAGGCCAGAGGACGGCAGAGGGGGAUGGAAUUCCGCGUGUAGCAGGGAAAUGCGUAGAUAUGCGGAGGAACACCGAUGGCGAAGGCAAUCCCCUGGGCCUGUACUGACGCUCAUGCACGAAAGCGUGGGGAGCAAACAGGAUUAGAUACCCUGGUAGUCCACGCCCUAAACGAUGUCAACUGGUUGUUGGGUCUUCAUUGACUCAGUAACGAAGCUAACGCGUGAAGUUGACCGCCUGGGGAGUACGGCCGCAAGGUUAAAACUCAAAUGAAUUGGCGGGG